rnacentral:rRNA from 1 species
UGGGGAAUAUUGCACAAUGGGCGCAAGCCUGAUGCAGCCAUGCCGCGUGUGUGAAGAAGGCCUUCGGGUUGUAAAGCACUUUCAGCGAGGAGGAAGGUGGUGAACUUAAUACGUUCAUCAAUUGACGUUACUCGCAGAAGAAGCACCGGCUAACUCCGUGCCAGCAGCCGCGGUAAUACGGAGGGUGCAAGCGUUAAUCGGAAUUACUGGGCGUAAAGCGCACGCAGGCGGUUUGUUAAGUCAGAUGUGAAAUCCCCGGGCUCAACCUGGGAACUGCAUUUGAAACUGGCAAGCUAGAGUCUCGUAGAGGGGGGUAGAAUUCCAGGUGUAGCGGUGAAAUGCGUAGAGAUCUGGAGGAAUACCGGUGGCGAAGGCGGCCCCCUGGACGAAGACUGACGCUCAGGUGCGAAAGCGUGGGGAGCAAAACAGGAUUAGAUACCCUGGUAGUCCACGCUGUAAACGAUGUCGAUUUUGGAGGUUGUGCCCUUGAGGCGUGGCUUCCGGAGCUAACGCGUUAAAUCGACCGCCUGGGGAGUACGGCCGCAAGGUUAAAAACUU